rnacentral:tRNA from 1 species
UAGAAAGAAGCUCGCUGGAUAGAGUGUUUAGCUGUUAACUAAAAUUUCGUGGGAUCAAAGCCCGCCUUUCUAG